rnacentral:rRNA from 1 species
AUUGAACGCUGGCGGCAUGCCUAACACAUGCAAGUCGAACGAUCACGCGCGUUCGGGUGUCUUCGGGUGGUGGAGGGGUGCGGAAUACUACGGAAUGUGCCAGAUAGCGGGGGGUAACGGGGAGAAAGCUUUGAUAAUACCGCAUACGAGCUAAUGUUUAAAGCAGGGGGGUGCAAGGGUUUGCGCCGCUCGUGCUGCCGAUGGCAGAUUAGGUAGUUGGUGGGAUAAAAGCUUACCAAGUCGACGAUCAGUAGCUGGUCUGAGAGGAUGAUCAGCCACACUGGGACUGAGACACGGCCCAGACUCCUACGGGAGGCAGCAGUGGGGAAUUUUGGACAAUGGGCGAAAGCCUGAUCCAGCCAUGCCGCGUGCAGGAUGAAGGCCUUCGGGUUGUAAACUGCUUUUGUACGGAACGAAAAGACUUGUUUUAAUACAGGAGGAUCAUGACGGUACCGAAAGAAUAAGCACCGGCUAACUACGUG